UGGGGAAUAUUGCACAAUGGGGGAAACCCUGAUGCAGCGACGCCGCGUGAGUGAAGAAGUAUUUCGGUAUGUAAAGCUCUAUCAGCAGGGAAGAAAAAAGACGGUACCUGACUAAGAAGCCCCGGCUAACUACGUGCCAGCAGCCGCGGUAAUACGUAGGGGGCAAGCGUUAUCCGGAUUUACUGGGUGUAAAGGGAGCGUAGACGGCGCGGCAAGUCUGAAGUGAAAGGCAGGGGCUUAACCCCUGAACUGCUUUGGAAACUGCCAUGCUAGAGUGCUGGAGAGGUAAGUGGAAUUCCUAGU
rnacentral:rRNA from 1 species